rnacentral:tRNA from 1 species
ACCCUGAUGGCCUAGUGGUUAAAGCACAGCACUCUCACGGCUUCGGUGGCCAGGUUCAGUUCCUGGUCAGAGAA